rfam:Mesocricetus auratus contig208003, whole genome shotgun sequence.
GUGCUCGCUUCGGCAGCACAUAUACUAAAAUUGGAACGAUACAGAGAACAUUAGCAUGGCCCCUGCGCAAGGAUGACACGCAAAAGAACAAAAACAAAAACAGCAAA